rnacentral:tRNA from 1 species
GGUACCUUAGCUCAGCUGGUAGAGCAACGGACUGAAAAUCCGUGUGUCCCCAGUUCGAUUCUGGGAGGUACCA